UACGUAGGUGGCAAGCGUUGUCCGGAUUUACUGGGCGUAAAGCGUAUGCAGGCGGAUGGUUAAGUAGGAAGUGAAAGGUUGGAGCUCAACUCUAACACUGCUCCCUAUACUGGCCGUCUUGAGUGCCGGAGAGGACCAGGGAACUUCACGUGUAGCGGUGAAAUGCGUUGAGAUGUGAAGGAACACCAAUGGCGAAAGCACUGGUCUGGACGGAGACUGACGCUGAGAUACGAAAGCCAAGGGAGCGAACAGG
rnacentral:rRNA from 1 species